GGUGCGAAGAAAAUUUGGUAGAAAAAGACUAGACCUGAAGAUGAACAGUGGAAGAGAAAAGAAGAUGGGCUUUUUCCUUUGUUUUUGGUCUCUUUAUUCUCUGUUGGCUGUUUUUUGCAUCUCAGGUCGUCCCUUUUUAUAGCCUAUGAAAUUCUCCCAUGUCCAGAUAGUCCAAGAAGUCUAAAAACAACUCAAAAUAGUAUCCCAAACCGUAUAUCAGUCGAAAUCAAUUUUUGACCAUCGGAUUGCAUUUAAACGCCUC
rnacentral:lncRNA from 1 species